UACGGAGGAUGCGAGCGUUAUCCGGAUUUAUUGGGUUUAAAGGGUGCGCAGGCGGAAUGUCAAGUCAGCGGUAAAAUUUCGGGGCUCAACCCCGUCGUGCCGUUGAAACUGACGCCCUUGAGUGAGUGAGAAGUAAGCGGAAUGCGUGGUGUAGCGGUGAAAUGCAUAGAUAUCACGCAGAACGCCGAUUGCGAAGGUAGCUUACCGGCGCCCAACUGACGCUGAAGCACGAAAGCGUGGGUAUCGAACAGG
rnacentral:rRNA from 1 species